ACGUGAGGCCGCAGUGGGCCAUAUGAGGGGCCUGUCAUUUGAUGUUUGGGACUGUUUGUGUUGAUGCUUCUAUCUCACCGGCAUAUACAACCGCUCUAUUUUCGAGGCAUUCAGCAAGGUGCUUCAGAAGUUAAUCCCCGAGCUGCCGACGUUAGAAAACCUCCUCAACAUUUUCAUCUCGAAUUCCGGGAUUGACAAGGCAUUCCUGUUUGAUGUUGUGACCAAAAUGUACAUUGCAACUGGCAAGUCACUUAAUGACUGAUAGCAUCACAUGGGGAAUGUAUCAUAUGGUCACAGUUUGGCAAUGUACUAAGCGAUGGUGCCUAAAUACGUUUUCCGGGAAUGUAUAAACCAAUAAACUAUAUACGCAACUGUAUUGGGUCGU
rnacentral:lncRNA from 1 species